rnacentral:rRNA from 1 species
CUGCUUUGUAUGGGAGCAAUAAGCCUUCGUGAAGGGUGAUGAGAGUACCAUACGAAUAAGCAUCGGCUAACUCCGUGCCAGCAGCCGCGGUAAUACGGAGGAUGCAAGCGUUAUCCGGAUUUAUUGGGUUUAAAGGGUGCGUAGGCGGUUGGAUAAGUCAGCGGUGAAAGUUUUCUGCUUAACAGGAAAAAUGCCGUUGAUACUGUCUGGCUAGAAUAUGGUUGCUGUGAGUGGAAUGUGUGGUGUAGCGGUGAAAUGCUUAGAUAUCACACAGAAUAUCGAUUGCGAAGGCAGCUCACAAAGCCAUUAUUGACGCUGAGGCACGAAAGUGUGGGGAUCAAACAGGAUUAGAUACCCUGGUAGUCCACACUGUAAACGAUGAUAACUCGCUGUCGGCGAUACACAGUCGGUGGCCAAGCGAAAGCGAUAAGUUAUCCACCUGGGGAGUACGACCGCAAGGUUG